AGUUUGGGUAUAAAUUAUGUGUGAAUCAUCCAUUCAACUUAUGCCUAAAGGCUAAAUUGCUUGUGAUGAGUGUAUUGGAAUUAACUGUAAAUUCGCGGUCGGUUUAAUUAGUAUAGGUACUUACUUAGGUAUCCAAAACUCCUACGGAUUGAUUACAAGUUAAAUAAUUAGAAUACACGAAAUUAACUUUAAGGGAAAUCCCUAUAAUGUUGGUGUAACACGACUGACGUCAUGCUCAUUUAUUUUGUUGUAUUGGAUAAACAAGAGUAUUCAGGUUUUGGCUUAAUAUAUGAUAGGCAAGCGAUCACGAUGAUGUCAGUUUAUAUAAAGUUACUUAUACAUGAUGUACCGUUGUAGCGUAUGUGUAUUUCCCAGUUUAAAUAUGUGAUUUCCUUUUUGUUUCUUUUACAUAUUAGUGUGUUAUUAGUUUAGUGGAAAUGUGUCAAACGAUAUGUAUCGCUUUUGGCUUUGGUUUUCUAAUGAUUAUGACUAUUAGUUCUACGCAAAGUGAAUUUGGUUACACAGAUAACGACGUUCUAUUUACGAGUAAGGGUCACAUUUUAUGUCCAUUAUUAUCAUUUCCCACACCACUUCAAUGUCGAUUGGAUAACUACUUACCUACCAGAUUACCUCGUGCGUACUUGUCCCAAGCCAAAAAACCGUGCAACGUUUUCUAGGAUUGUAGAAACCUACCAUCAACAAAGUGGGCAUACCUUUUUUAGAAGUUCCCCGGUUAGCAAUAAUUACAUUAAUUGCAAGUCUUUAUUUAUUUUUUCUGGUAUGUGUAUGCAAAUUUGCAAUAAUAAUAAUUUGAGUAAGUGACCCUGUACCAUGAUUCAUUGACAUGGUUUAUGGGAAACUGCAAUGGAACUUCAUAUAAAAUUGUUUGGGGUAUUACUUUUACACAUCUACUUUACGUGUUCGUGUUUAUUACUUAUUGUUGGGUACCUACACCUAUUUGUACAGUGUCCGUUUUUGCAAAAUAAAGAGUUUUUGGGAAAAUGCCAGCGUGGUCACUAUUUUUUACUAGCACUACAUGGAACACAUAAAAUAAUGGCCUUUAUGAUUGAUAAAUCUGUGAUAUUACUUAUAUGUAUGUUUUAGACGCUAAAACGAUCGACCUGGAUUCUGGAAUAAUCGCGUUGUCUGCACUGUUCAAAUUCGCGACUAUACUUUUAUAUUGUUCUGGAAGUUGCGCCUAUUUAUCCUGUUUCAAAUUUUCUUCUAUCCCAAAACCUUCUGACUAUUAAGCAAUAAAGUUUUAAAAACAUGA